rnacentral:misc_RNA from 1 species
AACCAUUCUCACCUGCGGCUAGACCUGCGGAGGGAUCAUUACCGAGUUUACAACUCCCAAACCCCUGUGAACAUACCAAUUGUUGCCUCGGCGGAUCAGCCCGCUCCCGGUAAAACGGGGCGGCCCGCCAGAGGACUCCUAAACUCUGUUUCUAUAUGUAACUUCUGAGUAAAACCAUAAAUAAAUCAAAACUUUUAACAACGGAUCU